rnacentral:rRNA from 1 species
AACGGCCGCGGUAUUUUGACCGUGUGAAGGUAGCGUAAUCAUUUGUCUUUUAAAUGAAGACCUGUAUGAAUGGCGAAACGAGAGCUUAACUGUCUCACCCUCUCUGUCAAUGAAAUUGAUCUUCCCGUGCAGAAGCGAGAAUAUUUACAUAAGACGAAAAGACCCUAUGGAGCUUUAGAAUCUGAAACAGCCCUACUAAGUAUAAUAAAAAUAACAAAGGCUCCUGUUUCUCUUAUUUCUUCGGUUGGGGCGACCAUGGAGAAAAACAAAACCUCCAAGAAAAAACUACUAAAGUUUAACAAACUAAGAACAACAACUCUAAACCCCAGAAUUUCUGCUUAAUAAAUGAUCCGGAAAAAUACCCGAUCAACGAAAAAAGUUACCCUAGGGAUAACAGCGCAAUCCCCUUUUAGAGCUCACAUCGACAAGGGGGUUUACGACCUCGAUGUUGGAUCAGGACAUCCUAAU